rnacentral:rRNA from 1 species
GACGGAGGGUGCUAGCGUUGUUCGGAAUUACUGGGCGUAAAGGGCGCGUAGGCGGCCCUGUCAGUCGGGUGUGAAAGCCCGGGGCUCAACCCCGGAACGGCACCCGGAGACGGCGGGGCGUGGAGACCGGGAGAGGAGGGUGGAAUAGCCAGUGUAGAGGUGAAAUUCGUAGAUAGUUGGCUGGAACACCGGUGGCGAAAGCGGCUCUCUGGCCCGGUUCUGGACGCUGAGGCGGCGAAAGCGUGGGGAGCAAACAGG